GUGUUUCCCAGGCUGGCUUAAUCCUGUUCAGUAGUAUUCGGCAAGUGUCAGAUAACACUUGCUGGAAAAGAAGCCCCCAGUGUGAGGCUGAGCAGGUAGGAUGUGGGCGACCAGUUCCACCGGCUGCUGACACCUGUCCCAUCCAUACUCAGGCCUUCUCAAGGCCCAUCUCCUUCUGUCCUACAAAUACCUGGAGUAUUCUACCCGCUAGAGUAGGAUGAGUUCUGGUGACUGUGACUGCAUGUGAUGGCUCUACAGAGAAGAAAAUGGGCCUGCCUGAUUUGUCCCCAGAAGCCAGUGCAAUGCUUGACUAAUAGUUGGAAGGCAAGAUAAAUCACUAUUGAAUCCGGGCACAGUGGCUGACAUCUGUAAUCCCAGCACUUUGGGAGGCCAAGGCAGGCAGAUUAUCUGAGGUCAAGAGUUUGAGACCAGCCUGACCAACAUGGUGAAACCCCGUCUCUACUAAAAAUGCAGAUAUUAGCCAGGCAUGGUGGCAGGUGCCUGUAAUCCCAGCUACUUGGGAAGCUGAGACAGGAGAAUCACUCCAACCUAGGAGGCGAAAGUUGCAGUGAGCCAAGAGUGCGCCAUUACACUACAGCCUGCGGGACAGAGCAAGACUCUGUCUCAAAAAAAAAAAAUCAUUAUUGAGGCCUCCUAAGUGCCAGGGCCGGCCCCGCAUCUGGCACCGGGAGUGAUCGAGGGAUGUACCAAUGGAUAAGACAAGGUUGUGUAAAACAAAGAAAGGAGCUGGCUCCCAGACAACCCAUUGAUCAGGAAAACCAACUAUUUAUGGAAGAGAAAACUUGAAAGACCAACAAGCACAUGAGAAAAGGCUUGGCCCCAUCAGUCACCGGGCAAAUACAAAUGAAUCAAAUAUUACAUCAUUUUCGUAUAGUCAGAUUGAACUUGAAGAAAACUCAAGACAACAAUGAUUCAGGAAGGAAAAACAAACAAACCAAAAAAAAGAAAAAGGUGAGCCCAAAAGAAGCCGAGUACGAUUCACUGGAUUCCGGCAAUGGCUUACAAAAGACAUCACCCGCAGACCAUCUGACUCAGGUGGAACUCACAGCCCAGGCCUGGCCAGUCAGAGUAUUGCUUCUCGACUGAUGCAGUUUUAGAGAUGAACACACGGCCAAUCUGAGUCACAGGGAGGGAGUGAUUCUUUUACUGGGUUUCCUAGAAAGGGACUCUCCCUCUCUCCCUAGAGCCUAAGAGGAUGUGACUAUCCUGCCAAGGGUAGGUGCCUGAGACCAGACCUGACAUGGAGGAGACAGGAGCACAAAGAAAGACGGAAAGAAACAGCAUUCACUCAGCUUCCUUCAAACUCAAAUCAAACCACACCUGAACUCCUCCCACUUAAGCCAAUUUGGAUCUGGUUCUCCGUCAUCUACUUGAGUUAAUCACUUUAUCCCUUGUCUAGCUUAAUGUCAGUUUCCCUAUCUUCAGCUCUGGGCCCCUGAAAGCAUGGUCUGUCUACUCCCAGGCUGAUGACCUGAGCUUUGUAUCUAUCUCCAAGACCGUCCUUGAAUAAUCCCAGGAGCCCUGCCUAUAGGUAGAGAGGGUUAGAUGCCUGAUGAGAGAAGGUGAGAAAGAUGGCUUGAAAGAUUGUGAGAGCAGAGCAAGGGGUGCUCAGAGAGGGGCACAAACACCCCUCUCUCCACAAAGCACGCAAGUCACCCGCUGUUUGCUCAGCCCUUGUAUUGAAUGGGGCCUGCCACGAUGGCUGCAUUGCAGAAGGCAUAUUUAACAUCACCCUUGUCAAUCUGUGACAGCCAUGUCUGCAUUCUCUUCUCAUUGCCAUUAACAUAGAAAUAGCUCCAUAAUGACACCAGGCUUUCCCCAGCAUCGCUCUCUGCUUCUCUCAUUAUAAAUGAAACUAUCUUGUUAUACGGGUAAACUGGAAACAGGAACGUUCUGUCUCAGAUGUCACGGGGCAAUUCUCCCUCAUUAUUUCAUCACACCGAGAGAAACUGGAGCGGCUGCUGAAAUCUACUCCUGUUUUUGAGCUUUACAAGCAACAUUUUAGAAGAGAAGCAGCUCAGAUGUCAGCUGCAGUAAGUCCUAGGGGGCCUGUGAGGGGCAUAUUUCCCGACAACUCCCU
rnacentral:lncRNA from 13 species